UUGACCUCGAAUCAGGUAGGAAUACCCGCUGAACUUAAGCAU
rnacentral:rRNA from 13 species